CUGAGCUUUCUUAAAGCCUUGCAAACUGAAGUUAGGCAAAUUAAACUUCAGAAGAAAAUAAAAGCAACUUGUUUACAUACGUAAGCCACUCUCAUACCUGCCUACUGAUAUAUGAACUUCAGAGUUAUAUGGCCUACAUUGAUUUUCCAGAAUUUUUAUAUUUUCAUUUGUUGUUGUUUUUCACCUUCCUCCCACUAUUUGCUCUUCACAGGAUGUGAGACUUCACAACCUUCUAAAAAUGAGUUUUCCUAACAACAUGGGACCUACCCUUCUAGGAAUAAACCAUCCUAGCCAUGAGAAAUCAGAUGAAAACUGGGACCAGAGACUCUUUUUCUUCUAAAAUGCUUUUUCUGAAAGAUUUUAAAAAGAAAAGAAGGGAAAUGUGAAAGGAAAAUAAAAUUUUAGACCCCAACACCACUAAGCUAAAGGGAAAAGUCAAGCUGGGAGCUGCUUAGGGCAAAUCUGCCUCCCAUUCUAUUAAAAGUCAUUCCUCUGCUUACUGAGAUAAAUGCACAUCUGAUUGCUUCCUUUGGAGAGGCCAAUCAGCAACUCAAAAGAAUGUAACCAUUUGUCUCUUAUCUACCUAUGACCUGGAAGACCCCUCCCCACUUUGAGUUGUCCCACCUUUCCAGAUGAAUCCAAUGUACAUCUUAAAUAUAUUAAUUGAUGUCUCAUGUCUCCCUAAAAUGUAUAAAAUGAAGCUGUGCCCAGACCACCUUGGGCACAUAUCAUCAGGGCCCCCUGAGGCUCUGUCACAGGUGCAUUCUUAUCCUUGGCAAAAUAAACUUUUUAAAUUGACUGAGUCCUGUCUUAGAUAUUUUGGGUUAACAGACAAAAUAACCAACUUUGCU
rnacentral:lncRNA from 1 species